AACGAACGCUGGCGGCGUGCCUAACACAUGCAAGUCGUGCGAGAAAGUUCCUUCGGGAGCGAGUAAAGCGGCGCACGGGUGAGUAACACGUAGGUAACCUGCCCCUAAGUCUGGAACAACUAGAGGAAACUCUAGCUAAUGCCCGGAUAAGACCACGAUCCCCUCGGGGGUUGCGGCCAAAAGAUGGCCUCUACUUGUAAGCUAUCGCUGAGGGAUGGGCCUGCGGGCCAUUAGCUUGUUGGUGAGGUAACGGCUCACCAAGGCUGUGAUGGCUAGCUGGUCUGAGAGGAUGACCAGCCACACUGGGACUGAGACACGGCCCAGACUCCUACGGGAGGCAGCAGUGGGGAAUAUUGCGCAAAUGGGCGAAAGCCUGACGCAGCGACGCCGCGUGGGUGAUGAAGGCCUCGGUCGU
rnacentral:rRNA from 1 species